rnacentral:lncRNA from 1 species
GCGCGGCGGCGGCAGCGGGACGCGCGGCUCCCCCUGGCUGCGCGGCGGCGGCGGGAGGCGGCCGCGCUCUGAGGAGGAGCCGCCGCCGCCUCAUCCUGCGGCAGCGCGAGGAGCCCGGCGAGCGCAGGUGGCAGUGUAGAAGCCAAGAACAAAAAUUGGCAGAAAUAUUUUCUGUGUAUGAGAAAAYGAAGAGUGUACUCAUGACUAAGCACAGGAACCUGAAAAACCACAGUUACAAAACAUUCAGGGAAUUGCAUUUGAGGUAUAGCUUCCUGGGGACCCAAACCCUGGAAUUGUAAGCUGUCUGGAUAGCGACUGUCUCUGUUCAGGAAUUGUAAGGCUCUGAUCUGCAAAUGAGGCUUGUGUGUGCUGUCACAAUGCUUUCAUGAUAUGCUGUGCUUUGUGUAGACUAUUCUGAAAAACUAUCACAGUUUCUAAAGUGAAUUUAAAAAAAAUAAAGUGAAUAAGCCUAGAUCUUCA